rnacentral:pre_miRNA from 1 species
UUUGGAUCCUCUCCAUCGAGCUUCUCUCCAUCCUCUCUCCAUCCAAAUCUGAGCCAUUGAUUUGGAAACUUAAAGGCUUGGAUACAUUUAAGAAGAGAGAGAAAAAAUGAAUUGUAUUUAAAGGCUUGAAUUAAUUUAAGAAGAGAGAGAAAACAUGAACUAAUCCUCACCUUUAAAAUUCAAAAUCAAUGGCUCAGAUUUUGGAUGGAGAGGGGAUGGAGAGAAGCUGGAUGGAGAGGAUCCAAA